rnacentral:tRNA from 1 species
AGGGAUAUAGCUCAGUGGUAGAGCACUUGCCUAGCAAGUGCCCAAGGUCCUGUGUUCCUC